GUGGAUUAUUUGUGUUGGAAUAUAUUACCCCAGUGAAGAAAGAGACGCGUCUAAAGAUGAGGACCAGGGAUGAACACACUGAGAGCGUUCUGUCCAUUCCUUCAUGACUGAUUAUAUUGGGGUCUGAGGAGCAGAACAGUGCCCAUUCUUGCUUAGCGCUUAGUCCACAGAGAGCUGAAAGAAAACGAGAGAAGGGAGAAAAAUGAAGCCAUAAAUUGAUUGUUGGGACUGAUGGACAUCCAGGAAGCAUUUUGAGUUCGGAAAUGAACUUUUGAAGGUGCACUAAUGAAAUAAGACUUUGCCUGCGUUGGUGUCCCUCUCUGAAGGAGACGUGGUGAUGAAUCGCUGAGGUGAAGUCCGUGCUCAAGGGCAGGGGAAUAAAUAUCAAGCUUUGACUUCUGGCCUCCAUGUCAGCACACGUUGGAUUUGCUACUGAAAAAGCGAUUGUUUUAUUUUAAAGUCCUGCCUCCAAGACAAGCUCUUAUUUCAAAUUAAACUUUCAAGGUCUCUGAGUCAUUUAUUCGUGUCGAAAGGGAGGCAGAAUGAAAUUCCAGGUAACUGUUAUAAAUCCACAGCAGACAUAAAAGAUGACAACGACAUUUUCACGGCUCCCCUCCAUGACGACUUUCAUCGUUUGUUCAUGAGAAACAUCCGAGACUGCUUGACUCUAUUCACUGACUUAAGAGAUGGAACAAAUGCACCUUGAAAGGCGAAUGUUUUGCCGCCUUUGUCUUGGUGCCUGUUUUUUUCAGGUACACGUUACACUGCAUUAAAGGCCCUGAGGAAAACGUGGUGCACUAAGUACUAAAUGCAAAGCCGAUCGCCAAACAGAUGGCCUUGAUGCACUGAUAAGCAGUUUGUGGUGUUUUGAUGUCUUCAGCCGAGUUAUCAGCCUUAGCUUGACUUUGUCAAAAAAAAAAAAAAAUCUUCCAUUUCCCCAGAGUUUCCAACCAGCACUAACUGGAAACAAAGAUGCUAUUAGUGAGCUUAGUCACUAUCUUCAUUCUGCACUACACCUCCCAUGGCACCCCACUCUCCAUACAAGGCAGCUUAUUUAUAACAUUAUUUAUAUAUUUAUUUAUUAUUGCAUUCCUUUUCUCUUCUUUUUCCAAGAAAAAUAUAACACCUCCUAAAAGGAUUACGUUGUUCAGGAGAAGUCAAAUAAUUAUCACUGCUUCUGCUGCUUUAAUUUGCCGUGAAUUCUCUUUUUCUCCAGUGCAAACCUUAUUAAGCAGCAUGUUUGAAGGGAACACUGGAUUUUAUUCAGCUGAUAAUGUUUGUCUAACAGGCUAAUGGCUCACAAGAAAAGGAAAAAGGUUCUUUUCAGGGUUCGCUUUCCACAGAGAAUUAGCUACAUGCAAAGGAGGAGAGUAUAGUAUGUCGUUUUUAGACAAAUACAGCAUGAUGAAACCUUAGGAUGAAAAGGUAGAGAAUGGUCUAACACUUGUUCUACAAAGACACUAUUAACAUGACCAAUUAAGUACGGAAAUAGCUAUAUUUGGAAGCAGUGGUUAACCCAAAAAAUAACCCAAACGGCACUUUGAUGGCUCAGACAGAAUUGCACUGGUCCAAUGAAAUGGUUAGCACUUGUAUUGUAGAUUGUAGACGACAUAAUGGAAAUCACAAAACUCAACAUUGUGUCCUAUUUAAAGCAUGUGUUUAUGUGAGAUUAUGUCAGUGUGCUAGUUACAGGAGGUUAUUGUCCGAUAAUGGAUAUUAAUAGCUUUUGCUUCAUGACGAUUUGACGUAGUUACCAUUGCACAGUUAUAUAACAUCGACAGUUUCUAAAACAGGCACCAAAAGAAAUAGCAUUUCCAUAUCCCAUCACCGGUCAGUAAAUAAACAUAGCCUACAAUUCUAUUCUGAUUGUGUGUGCUGGUAUUGAACGAUUAUGCAUGAUAGGGUGAUGUGAUGUUUUCUGAAGUUGAUUAUUUUCUAGUAGCACUAUGGUUAAACUUUUUAAAAUAAUACACAUACUGUUUUUAUUUGUUUAGAAAUGCAUUGAUAAGCUGUUAAAAAUAGUUCCUGUUAUCACAUAUUUGUAGUCAUUUCCUCUGUUUAUUCCUGAAAUGAAUUAGAGAAAUGAUAGGAGUUUUGACUCCUUCCAUUUGUGUUAGUUGAAAAUAUCCUUUCAGAAAGCUUCACUAUAUCAACACUGUGUUUGUUCAAAAUCAACAGGUUUUUAUAUGUUAACUAUUAGUAAUAGAUUAUGUGGCACAUAUUCCAUGUGAUGUAGAAACAUAACAUAUCAGAGCGAGUGUAUUAAUAUAAACUGCCGAUCUGCUUAGAGGCCAAAAGUCAUAUCACUGCAAUACAUGCUAUAUAUCAAUGUAUUUUGAUCAAUGUCAAAAUGUCAAUGAUCAAUUAUCAAUGUAUGAACUGUGCAAAAUGAUCAGCUGUAAGUUAAAGUUAAAUGUGUGAGACUGAUUGAAAUAAAAUGCAAAGAAAGGAUUUCAUUUCCUGUUUUAAAAUAUACAGCAAUAUCAACAUGUGA